ACGAGUUGCCCGAGUGGUCUAAGGGGACGGCCUUAAGAUCUCUGAUAUCUUAUCCGUUGUUUAUACGCGUGGGUUCAAACCCCACACUCGUCA